rnacentral:rRNA from 1 species
AGAGUUUGAUCCUGGCUCAGGAUGAACGCUAGCGGCAGGCUUAACACAUGCAAGUCGAGGGGUAACAUUGUAGCUUGCUACAGAUGACGACCGGCGCACGGGUGCGUAACGCGUAUACAAUCUACCUUUUGCUGAGGGAUAGCCCAGAGAAAUUUGGAUUAACACCUCAUGGUAUAUAAUAUCGGCAUCGAUAUUAUAUUAAAGGUUACGGCAAGAGAUGAGUAUGCGUCCUAUUAGCUAGAUGGUAAGGUAACGGCUUACCAUGGCAACGAUAGGUAGGGGCCCUGAGAGGGGGAUCCCCCACACUGGUACUGAGACACGGACCAGACUCCUACGGGAGGCAGCAGUGAGGAAUAUUGGGCAAUGGAGGCAACUCUGACCCAGCCAUGCCGCGUGCAGGAAGACUGCCCUAUGGGUUGUAAACUGCUUUUAUACAGGAAGAAACACUCCCUCGAGUAGGGAGCUUGACGGUACUGUAAGAAUAAGGAUCGGCUAACUCCGUGCCAGCAGCCGCGGUAAUACGGAGGAUCCAAGCGUUAUCCGGAAUCAUUGGGUUUAAAGGGUCCGUAGGUGGAUAAUUAAGUCAGAGGUGAAAUCCUGCAGCUCAACUGUAGAAUUGCCUUUGAAACUGGUUAUCUUGAGUCAUUAUGAAGUGGUUAGAAUGUGUAGUGUAGCGGUGAAAUGCAUAGAUAUUACACA